rnacentral:lncRNA from 1 species
CGCUGUGACGCAGCACUCGGCGGCCCCGCGCGGCGCGGCGGGAAAAAAGAGUCCGCCCGCACCGCCCCGCCCUGAGCGGCUGAGGGGACCGGCGGGCGGGACGGGCGGCGCGCCCUGCGCUGCUGCGGGCGUUACGGGGCGGCCGGCCGGCCGGAGCCGCGGAGCCGGGCGGUAUCCAGCCGCUCAGAUCCCGCGACGCUGCGGUUCGCGCUCAGUGCCUGCCCUCUUUAAGUCGUUCUGAACGGCUGGGAAGAAUCGCUCCGAGACGUGAAAUCGCGGCUCCGCGUCGACGCGUGCGUUCUCUCCUUCGGGUGUUGUCCCAUAAAGCGGAGCGCUUCGGUGCGGCGGACGGAGAGCGCCGACACGGCAGCGGGCGUUAUUUACAACCGCCGCUCCACCUCGGCAGAGCUCCGCAGGCACAGCGGCUGAGCCCCUCUGCCCCGCCGGGGAAGGACACGACGCGGCUCUGUCGCAAUCGCAGCGCUGGGGAAAUUCCGCCCUCUUGCAUCACUUCUCGGAACGGCCGCACCGCGCCCGUAUCGCUGCGCGACGCGGCCGGGACUACCGACCCGCAGCUGGCGGGCCAGCCCCGCCCCGGCGGGCAGCUCCGGGAUCUGAUUGGCUCCCUCGGCUUGAUUGACACCGCCCGGUUGUCGUCAGCCGUCCGCCAUGUUGUGCGGGGGAGCCGUGUCCCCGCGUGGCCUCGCAGGUCGCCCCGGGGCUCUGCGACGUCGCCGCGUCCCCUUAGCCGCGGUUUCCCCGGGCUGUGAGGGCAGGAGGAGGGCGCUCAGGUGCAGAAGGCGGAGCCGGGGGCUUUGUGUGGGGACACGGCUCCUCGUCCUGCGGGCAGGGGACCGGUCAGGAGGAGGCAGUGAGGCCGGGUUCCCUCAGGGCGUGGAGCCCUCUCCCAUGGCAGCAGCUCUGAGCCGCCGCCCCGCACCUCACCCAACGGCCCUGGGGCGAGCAGCAGGAGAACAGUGCUCCAGCAGGGAGGCCUUCAGCAAGGCAGGCCCACAGCAGCGCCAGCGGGUCGUGCUGUGUGUGGGCCCUGUCAGCCCGGCGUGCCCAGCACUGGAAGGUUGUUGUUUUCCAUUCGUUGCUGAGGAGGAGCAAACCUGAGGGCUCACAGUGCGCCCAGGCUCUGAGGAGCAGGGCUGAACUGUAGCAUCACCCUUAACUGAGCAAAGAGCCAGCAGUCCUUGCUGCCAGGGCUCCGUGUGCCGAGACAGCUAGGAAGGAGCAUUUGUGGGGAGGUACAAAUCCAAGAUGCUGAUCAAUCGGUUUGAUCGGGGCGGUGUUGCCAGGCUGUGGCAGGAGGGCUGUGUCAAUGAGCUGGAGGUGCAGGAGGCCUGGGUACCAACAAGGGCAGCAAAGGAGGUGUGGAGCAGCUGGGUGAGGCACUGGGCUCUGUGUCACGGUCAGGGUGAGGCUUUACAAAUAAGGCUUUCAGAGUCCACAGUUCACAGUGCUUGUUUGUCGGUCUUUCCUUCUGUUUGUAUUUGGGGUUUGAGAGCCAGUCUGUAACUAUCACUGAAACAGUGCCUUUUCAGAAGGAUUUAAUUGCCUUUCCCUUUUUUCCCAGUGCUGGGUGGUGCUGCAGUCUGUGGUUCAGCAGGGCUUUGGUUAGCUGGAAGAGUUCUGUUCCCACCCUAUUUCCUGGCCCUUUCACAACUUCCUUCCCCCGAGCCGCAUAUUGCGCAGUCACUGAGAUUUUAGAGACAAUUUUACAUAGAUUUAAGAAGCCCACCACCAACCUGGAGGUUUUCUUUCAGAAACCUCCAACAGCCCUCUUUGGUGCAUUGCACAGCCAGUGAGCACACAGUGCUCGUGCUCAGCAUCUCUGCAAUGGCAAAAGCAAUUUACAGGUCACUGAAAGUACUUCAGAUUAAAGAAAUAACAAAGGGGAGCUGGGUAAAGAAAUCUCAUGUUUGUAUCAGUUCUCAUUGGGGUGUAUAUUUUUCAAUUCAGUAAAGUUGAGCAAUGUGUUGUCCCCAUAGCUGUUAUGCAAUUGAAAGUCUUAGCAGAGCCACAGAGUUUAAUGGUGGCAUACUUUUGUUUGUUUUAAAAAAAGGAGCAGUUUGCAGCACCUGCUGAUGGUACCUGAUGUCUCCAGGAUGGUACAGUAGAGCUACAUUAGUAAAUCAGAGAAUGUCGUAGGUUGGAAGACACCUUAAAGAUAAUCAAGCUCCAACCCCCUUGCCAUGGGCUGGCAGCCAAGGGCCCCAUCCAGCCUGACUCUGAGCACCCCCAGGGAUGGAGCACCCACUGCUCUCUGGCCUCACUGCUCUCUGAGUGAAGAAUUUCUUCCUAACUUCCGUUAAACCUUUAAUGCUUUAUUUUGUAACACCAUCCACAGGAGGUAGAGCCCGUGUUGUCACCUACCCAGAAUCAUACCCAGGUACGCACUGUGGGCAACUAAAACCCAUCAGCACAGCAGUUAAUAAGUUCAUGCUUUUUGCCAGGAACCAGCAUGUUGCUGCAAAAUGAUGGCAAUCAGUAACUGCUGGCUGAAUCGUGGAUGUGAGUACAUUAAUGAGUCUAAUGUGCCCUUCAGCCUGAAGUCAUAUUUGGGAGCUCUUUCAGUUGACUAUGUGCACGUAACUACUGGCAUCAAAGUGAACACUAAAAUGUUCUUUGGUUUCAAGAGUUCAUGCAACAGGCUGAAAUCACAUAGAGUAUUUGCAACAUCAGUGCCACGCACAGGGCUGCCAGGAGGCACUGUCAGGGCCCCCACCAGCCCCAUUGCUGACCAUGGCUUUGGGGCAGUACGAGUCUCCAACUCACCUGAGCAAAGCAAAUAGCCCUGGGAUGGUGCAGCACUGUAUGGCAUCUCCCAGAUCUGUGGUAUCUGUCCUGCACUCCUUUGGUGUUCACACCAUUGCAGCACCUUGCAAUGCUGUUGCAUUUUUCCUUCUUCUGAUUGCAGGUACAGUCUCCAAAGCUGAGCAGUGAACUGCAUUGGCAGAGGAUGGGCAAAGCUGGAAUGAAGGUAACACCAGUUCUCCAAUAAACCUCAUGGGAGAAGAGCUGUAGGGUAUCCAGAAACCUCCAUCCUGGUGGGUAAGCGAACCACCUCCGUCCUGAACAUCCCCUGAGGAUUUUACAGUGCAUUCCUCGUCUCUUGCUGGUGAAGCCACUGCUGGUGUUGAGCUUUAAUGCCUUUAAGUCUGUACCACAAAAACGUCAGUGAGCCUUUCCUACCAUCUGAUCGUGUGUUGGAGAGCAGCAGUUUGGUGCAUUUUCAGAUUGGGCAUCGUGCUUAACGUCCUUUUGAUUCCAGCCUGUCUUCCAGCGUGUUCAAAACUCACACUUGCUUCUCCCAUUGAGUUGCAUCAAGAUAAAACAAGUGGAAUUUAUCAGAUCUUACCAUCACCAGACAACGCCGUGGAGGCAGCAGACAUUCAGAUGCAGAUCAGAGAGAGCGUUUCAUCUGCAUGCACGUUAUUUGACUGAAGUGAACUGGUUUGAGAACUGGCAUUAAAAUACCAACACUGGCAGUUAAUGCUCCAGCCUUUGAACAGCAGCAGGCAGCUUCAGAGGAAGGGCAGGGCUGGUGGCAGCACCACCACUGCUGUUUGCUCAUACAGCUCUGACUGCUCUCUGUACUCACCAUCCUCCAAGUAAAGACACAGGAGCCAAAUUGGCUCCAAGAAGCAGUUUCUGUUCACCCUGGCUCUGACUCAGCCCCCUCCAAGGGCCAGCAGUGCCACCUACCAGCUCUUGGAGUGGGGAAAUGAGCAACAAGUCUUGGUCUUAUCUGCACCGAGUGAUCACACCAUGCUUUUAGAAAGCAAUAUGCUUCGCAUGUGUGCUGGCACACACAUCUGCCUCAGCUCCAUCCUGGGAACAUUGCUGUCACUGAUAGCAUUUCCAUCUGGAAGUAGGAGAACUGGGAUAACAUCAAAUGGCAGAAAGUGAUAUAGAGCUUCGGGGAGGUGCCCUGAGCUCACAGCACAGCCCUGUGCUUUGGUGAGAGGCUCUUGUACCUGGUGCUGUAGCAGAAGACCUGAGCAGUUCGUUCUUUACACUGCACACCUCUCCAGAGCUGAUCCUCCACGUGCAGAUGUGCUUCUCGCAGAUUAACACCACCAACCAGUUUGUAGCUGCAGGCAUGCGAGCAAAAAGGCAAAGGGUCAAAGCUCCAGCCUGGAAUAAAUCACAGUGAGCCACUAACACGCAGUGUGAGCAGAAACGAGCAGCAGGGGAGAUGGAAAAGAACAGGCUGUGUCCUGACAGGCAGACCUCAGCAAGACAGAUUUAGCUCUCGUUCAGCCAGGAGGAUAUUUGUCACUGCAAGGACAGGCCUGCAUUAUUUUUAGUGGAUGCAUCAUGAGUCCGCAGCUUUAAAGGACAGCGAAAGAAAGAUCAGCUUGUCUGGUGAGGGCUUAUCCUGUUCUCUCAGAGCACACACAGCCCUGAGAAGCCGAGGAAUGUGUCAGUACAUACAAGACACCAUGUGCUGCUUCAAGUACCACGCCUGCUUUUAUUGCUGCUAGCUGUGACACUAGCAGUCAGCAAACCCUGACAUCACACGUGCUGUCCUUACCCUGGGCCAUGCGCACAGCAGCGUGCCUGCAGGCUGAGCCCGACGGAGCACUUCCCGAUAAAACACACUGGAGUUUGAAAAAGAUGGUCUUGCUUUCUACCGGUCCACGUGGCCCCAGCUGUGACACGGCACUCAGCCCUGCAGUCACCUUGCUGCACAGCAGGAGAGGUGAUUCCCUCCUCUUGCCGCCAGCACUGUGUGCUGCAGCCACGCAGCAGAGCGAGGCCGUGCUGCUGGGUGCUGUGAGCUCAGGGAGGCUCCGUGCCGUGCUGGGAGCCGCAGAACCACAUCCUGCACGGGGCCUGAGCAAUAUCUGAUAGACUCACUGCGCCAGCUUGCAAACGUCUCGGUGCGAUCAGUGAGCAGCUUUGCCAGGUGUUUCCCCUACAGCCAGAUACAGUCAGCGCUGAGACGCUUCAUCUCACGUAAAUCAAGCGUAUCUGUCACCACUUUGUCCAUUUGCGUAUCGGAAUUGAUGGCUCAGGAAGAGCUGCGUGCCACCAGAGCACCUCCGAGUGCUGUGCCCGUGUUAGGUCAGGAGGGCUGCUGUGCGCCCUCCUGACCUGCAGCUGCUUGCUUGCAGUGGGUGCUCCCCUUUCCGAAGGGGCAGUGCGCCACCUAGCGGGCUGGAGCCGCACUGCAGGGGGGGUGCGGUGCUGCGGAGCACGGCCAGCCGAGGGACGGGGAAUUAAAGUGCUAACAUAUGGGCAGGAUGCUUUGUUUUACUGAGAUAACCAUCAGACGUCACCUCUGAUUGAUCGCGAGGUGCUUACAAAUAAAAGGAGCUGCCAACAACAAGCUAUCUGUCCUUGCAGCGCUGAGAAAACUGACCCAAACGCAAGCAGGGUGCACAAUGGGAAUAAGGGAUAGCAAGCAAGGAGCUCCCUCCAGAACUAUUAUCCAUCAGCCCACAGUGCUCGCUAGGACAGACAGCAGUGCAGGACCCUGGGCCAGGAGGGUCUCCAUGCUCUUUCCCAGAGUUCAAGUGAAAAACACUGAAGAAUGGCUUACAGAAGACAAGCUUUAUUACUGACCUUUUACCCAGCAGGAGGCAGCACUUCGUUACAAAAAAAUAACCCAAACCUCACAAUCAAAACUGGGAACGUUUUGCUGAUUGCCUGUCUCAGCAGCUGUGCAAAGCCUAUCUGCUUUUAGCUUCAAAUGUAAACGUGUUAUCAUUAGGGCUAGAAAAAAGGCUUUUGGACUUCAUUCUGAAGCAGAACAGAACUCAUGCUGGCUCUAUGCUGCCUCAAAUGGCACCAGACUUUUGUUUCGGUGUUACAGUGUAAUCAGUGGAAGUGAUCAGCAUGGUCAAUUAACUUCUUUUAAGCCUCUUUGUGUAUAUUAUUAUGUAUAUAUAUGUAUAAAUGUAUACUUCAUGCAGCUGCUGGUCAGGGUGCCCCAAGCACAGCUCCCCAUUUCAGUACAGCCUCAGUGCCCCCAGCAGCCCCCCUCCACCCAUGGUGGGUUUUCAAAGAGCCCAGGCAGGCCAUGCAGUGGCUCUCCCCAGGUGACUGCCCAGCUUUCAACCAACCAUUCAACCAUUUCAACCAUUCCCAGCCUGGAUCUAACAGCCUUACGUUGAGGGGAGCUUUACCUGUUGGACAUUUCCAGCUUUUAAGCCCACAUUCAGGUUCAUCUUCCAGAAUACCACGUAAGAAAGAGAGCCAACAACCCCAACCUAUUGCCUGUGCUCCAGCUGCAGGUUUGUUAGCCCAGCCAGCUGCAGCUCGUUAGCCAGAUCCCUCCACUGGCUCAGGCACUCACUCCUUGUACCUACCCUGAGUCAGGCUGCUCUUGGAGAGCUGAGAAAGGCUAUUUUGCUCUGUCAUUAACUGGAAAUUUCAGGAAAGUUUUGGCAAAGUCCAUCUGGCCUCCCUGCAGUGCUUUUUUUUUUUUUUUUUUAACCAAGUCAUGAUUUGGGAUGCUGCUAUGAUUAAUGGGGCAUGCAUUGCAUUAGCUCAUGUGUCAGGGCAAAUAAGUGGUGUCCCCAGUGGGCCAUCCCUGGCCUGUCACAUCUCAGCCUGUCUGAGCAGCCUGUUAACAUUCAGCAGGCUGCUGAAACCCGCUGGUGAACAAGGGGCGUUGCUGGCACUUUGGGACUUCCCAUCAAGAUGUGUUUGUUAAUCCAAAUUGGCAGAGCCAAAACAACAGGCACACAGCUGGAUCUAUCCUAAAAUGAAUGGCUCCUGUGGGAAAUGCAUGCACCCGCAGUGCUGGCGUUCUGUGCUGCAGGCCCUUGCUGCACUGCACUGGUGUGUGGGAAUAACAUGAACAUCCAUGGCAGCUCUUCUUUCCUUCCCCUCUCCAUCCUGUAUUUCACAGAAUCACAGAUCCAAAGUUCCAGUUUGUGCCCGUUGCCCCUUGUCCUCUUGCUGGGCAGUGCUGAUAAGAGCCUGGCCCCAUCCACGUGGCUCCUGCUCUUUGUAUAUUAUAAAUACUGAGAAGACCCAUUUCUCAGCCUUCUCCUCCCCAGGCUGAACAGUGCCAGUGCUCUCAGCCUUUCCUCAUCAGGAGGUGCUCCAGGCUUCUCUGCAGCCCUCCAAUGGACUCUCUGCAGCAGUUCCCUGCCUGCCUUGAACUGGGGAGCUCAGAACUGGGCCCAGUGCCCCAGAUGUGGCCACACCAGAGCAGAGCAAAGGGGAGAAGAGCCUCCCUCACCUGCUGGCCACACUCUUUGUAAUGCACCCAGGAUACCAUUGGCCUUCUUGGCCACAAGGGCACAUAGCUGGCUCACUGUCAACCAUUGGUCAACCAGGACCCCCAGGUCCUUCUCCACAGAGCUCCUUACCAACAGCUCAGCCCCCAACCUGUACUGAGGUGUUGUUAUUCCUCCCCAGGUGUAGGACUCCACCCUUGCCCUUGUUGAAGCUCAUCAGAUUCCUCUCCACCAAACUCUCGCACAUGUCCAUGCCUUGCUGAAUGGCCAUACUGGCACAUCAGCCACCCCUGCCAUCCACAUAUCACCAGCAAACCUGCUGAGGGUGAACUCUAUCCCUUCAUCCAGGUCACUGAUGAAGAUACUGAACAAGGCUGGGCCCAGUACCACCCCCUGGGGAGCACUGCUACCUGCAGGCCGCCCAGACUCUGCUCCCUGGGCUCUCCAGCAGCCUGGUGCUGCACACAGGGCUGCAGGCACUGCAUGGCACUGUUCACUGCUCACUGCCAGCGCCCUUGCAGCCAUCCUGCCUGCUGCUGAUGCCUUCUGAAUAUUCACACCUGUCCCAGAGAGCCUCCCCACCAAGUGAACAGCGUGCAGAUGGCUGCCUCCACCAGCAGCUCUGCUGUCACCAGCCCAGUGUUCCCAAAGCAAAUCGAUGACCUCUGCCUGCACAUCAGUCCCAGCGUCCAGGUGCUCGCCUUCAUUAAUCACAGUGCAAUCUCCGAGGUGGGAAGGCAAGGGCUAAACUUUUCAAAGAAUAAAUGAAAAGAGGAGUGGAGUAGAGAAAGUGACAAAUACAGGUCAUGUUGUACAGAUAUUAGAGCUGUAGAUGUAAAGGGAGGGAGCAGUAAAAAUUCAGGAGGCCCUCUAUCUCCUUCAGGAUGAGAGAAAAUACUUGUUUUGUUCCUUUUUUAUCAGGGUUGUGCUCCGUAUGGGUAUUACAGCAGGUGGUUUGGGGCUCUGUGCUGCUCAUUGUGCCUGAAGGAGUCAGAAGAAUGGAUGAAAGAAAGUCCUGAGAGCCCUUUGAUGAACCUAGAGGUCAUUUCCAGCCCAGUCCGUUCUGGGAGUCUCUCAUUCUAUGAAUUGCAAUGCUUAGCUACAACUUUCAGGUAAAAGAGUUAGGCAACGUCCUGCUGUUAAACACAGCAUCCUCCCCAUCACAGCCCCUCCCAGCAGCCUUAUGGGCUUCAGAGCUCGGUACCAACACUGAUAUCUGACACAUGGCUUUUAUUUCUCCUUUCAUCAUAGUACGUACAACAGGCUGUGGAUAAAACCAUUGUG